GAUGAACGCUAGCUACAGGCUUAACACAUGCAAGUCGAGGGGCAGCAUGGGAUUAGCUUGCUAAUCCUGAUGGCGACCGGCGCACGGGUGCGUAACGCGUAUCCAACCUGCCCUCUAGAUGGGGACAACAUCCCCGAAAGGGGUGCUAAUACCGAAUGUGACAGCAAUCUCGCAUGAGGAUGCUGUGAAAGAUGGGCCUCUAUUUAUAAGCUAUCGCUAGAGGAUGGGCCUGCGUCUGAUUAGCUAGUUGGUGGGUAACGGCUACCAAGGCGACGAUCAGUAGCCGGUCUGAGAGGAUGAACGGCCACAUUGGAACUGAGACACGGUCCAGACUCUACGGAGCAGCAGUGGGAAUCGUUCGCAAUGGCGAAGCCUGACGGAGC
rnacentral:rRNA from 1 species